GAUGAACGCUAGCUACAGGCUUAACACAUGCAAGUCGAGGGGCAGCAUGAACUUAGCUUGCUAAGUUUGAUGGCGACCGGCGCACGGGUGAGUAACGCGUAUCCAGCCUGCCCUUGUCCAUCGGAUAACCCGUCGAAAGGCGGACUAACACGGUAUGCAGUCCACAGCAGGCAUCUAACGUGGACGAAAUGUGAAGGAGAAGGAUGGGGAUGCGUCUGAUUAGCUUGUUGGCGGGGUAACGGCCCACCAAGGCGACGAUCAGUAGGGGUUCUGAGAGGAAGGUCCCCCACAUUGGAACUGAGACACGGUCCAAACUCCUACGGGAGGCAGCAGUGAGGAAUAUUGGUCAAUGGACGGAAGUCUGAACCAGCCAAGUAGCGUGCAGGAUGACGGCCCUAUGGGUUGUAAACUGCUUUUAUAUGGGGAUAAAGUGAGUCACGUGUGGCUUAUUGCAGGUACCAUAUGAAUAAGGACCGGCUAAUUCCGUGCCAGCAGCCGCAGUAA
rnacentral:rRNA from 1 species